CUCAGUUCGGAUCGGAGUCUGCAACCCGACUCCGUGAAGCUGGAUUCGCUAGUAAUCGCGCAUCAGCCAUGGCGCGGUGAAUACGUUCCCGGGCCUUGUACACACCGCCCGUCAAGCCAUGGGAGCCGGGGGUGCUUGAAGUGCGUAACCGCGAGGAGCGCCCUAGGGUAAAACUGGUGACUGGGGCUAAGUCGUAACAAGGUAAC
rnacentral:rRNA from 1 species